GGUGGUCCAUGAUUGGUGUUUGAGUGGUUUUAAUUGAAAAUUGGAAGUUUGGUUAGUGAACUUUUUAUGUAAGGAGUUGAGACUAAAUUGGGGAGUCUAAGGUUUGUGUUUUAGUCAUUUAGGACUUGCCUAGACCUUUAGUUUGCUAAAUUGGUGUAGGAAGUGAUAAAAGUGAGUUUAGGUAGUCUAGAAUUGUUAAUUUGGGUUUGGAGUGGUCAAUUUGAGUUAGAUGUAUGUUUU
rnacentral:lncRNA from 1 species